GCGGUUGUGGCGGAAUAGGCAGACGCGCACGGUUGAGGGCCGUGUUCGAAAGAGUAAGGGUUCAAGUCCCUUCAACCGCACCA
rnacentral:tRNA from 1 species